rnacentral:lncRNA from 1 species
UUGGGGAUGACAACCUACAUUGAUUGUGAUAUAACAUAGUAAUCUAGGUUUGACAUAAAUGUAUUGAUGGAUUUGAAUCAGUGUAUAGUAGAAGCAUAGCAGUCUAAAUUAUUUUUAUGCUAAUCAAAAAAAGAAUUUGGUCUUUCCUUCUCUUAUUUUAUAUAUAAUGUAACCCGACUUGCUUACUCGAUUGGGUAUUGGCUCGAACCUCUUACCCGGACAAAGAUCUUUCUUCAACCCGUGUGACCCAGUGAAGGGAAGCGAGGUUUAUAGAAUGCCAACUACAUAGAAAUAGAUUAAGGAUAGGUUGAUU